rnacentral:lncRNA from 1 species
GCCCCAGAAUGAAUCUGCACACAGAACAAGGAAAAAGCAUUUUCCAAAAACAUGAAGGACCUAGUAGGAAUUCCUUUUUAUGUGGCCCAUUGAAGAGCAGCUUACAGAAUGACCAAAGUUGGCCUGGGGUGACUUUCACUUAGAAGCUUCACCAAAGAGUACACUUUCCCCCAACUAAGGUUUGACUCCAGAUCCAACUCUUGAGAGUUUUGCUAAACUUCAAUAUGAUCCCACCUCAAAGAUCUAUGGGGACAUUUAAAAUUAAGGUAAGUUCCCCUUAACAUUUCAGAAGCAUGUGAACAUAUAAACCAAUGGUGUAAAACCACAUUAAAAAUGAUUGAAUUUAAAACUUUUCAAACUAUACACACCUCGAAGACAAGAAUUCUUCCCCCACCCAAUGUUACAUUAGAAUAAUGCAUAAGGAAGAGAAUAUACUUAUGAGUACUUGCCUGAAUAAACUGAGAAAAGCCUCAUAAGAUCAAGGGAGCAGUUCCACCAAUUUCCCUGUAGCUCUGCAAUUUUCAAAGGUUUCAUAACACAAUAUAUCCCCAGUGGCUCUUUCGUUCACUGAUUAUAAAACCAUAUAGCCAGAAAGGAAAGAAAUCCCAAAGCCCAAAAAGCAGCUUGUCCUGUCCAUCAGUUCACAUUUAUAGUUUCGGAGCUAAAAGGGAUACUAGACGUUGUCUUUGAAGUAUUUCAUUUUACAUAUGAGGAAACUCUCAGGUUAAGUGAUGACCUUGAUCAUCCAGCUGAGAGAUGUCAAAGCCCUUCCUUUGUUAUUUCCAACUUCUCCUCAGCAGUCAACCUACACUACUCCCUGCAAAAUAAUUACUUAUAGACUUAAGGAUUUCAUCUUUAAACCCUGCUCCCUCCCACCCCAGAAAACACACAUAAGUUCCCCUGGGGUAUGGUAAUAGGAGUCACAAUUUUAAUAUAAUCUACUAAUGGCCAGGGAUUUUGUUCAGCUGAGAAGUAUGUAUUUGCUGAUCUGCAGGGUAUUGAUUUGAGGGAGAAGGUCUUUUCAGCCCACAAGAAAAUUCAAAAUCCUUCAUUACUCUUAGAUUAUUUCAUGAAUAAUUCCAGGGGAAAAACAUAUAGUUGUUUCCUGUAAAUAUUGAGAUUGAAGCAAAACCUUUGUAGUUGGCCACAAGGGGGCAGCUGCAACAUUUUCUCCUAAAUGUUUGCAGUUCUAAACCACCAGGAGCAAUGGGGCAUUCUGGGUCUCAGCUUGCCACAGAAUCUCCAAAACCACCUUUCAACUGAGUUCUCAGUAUGACACAAAACAUUCUCAUACGGUGUUUCUUGGGACUUGUUUUGUUUUUAAACAAAUUAUUUCCCAACUCCUUUCCAGAUCAAGAGAGAGCCCUCUGUUUUAGAACUCUGUGCCAAGAUGGCCAUCUCUACAAAGAUCUUUGGAGACCAAUAAAUUGUUACGCUAAUUUGGAAACCCUCAGAAAAUGUUUUAAUUAUGUUUGACCCCAGAUAAAAAUAAAAACAGUAAUGAUCAUCUGAUUCCGCCACACUUAAUAAAGCUUGUUCUAAGUUCUUCACAGGAUUUGCCAAAUAUUUGCCUCAUCUCAUAGCCUCCAUUCGUCAUUCCCAUUUUUGUGAUAUCCUGAAAUCUUUCAAGUCAAAAUUUAUUGUGGAAUCUUAUCACAGUGCUAAACAGUGGGAGGUCUGAUUACUAAUAGCUAAAUUCCACAUCCUUAUAUCUCUACAAAAACAUAAAUUCAAAUUCAUUUCGUCUUUUAGGUGCAUAAAGUGCUGGAAGUUAGUUUGAAAAGCAAAUGCUGGUUUUAUUCGUAUGUAUGUGCAUGUGGGCAGG